rnacentral:lncRNA from 1 species
UGACAAAUCUGCAAGAUUCGAUGCAAGUGCACUACUAAAUGAUUAAAACCCCAGGUUCUGCCCUCCGGGAAUGUGUGAGAGUAUUAUAUUACUCCUGAAUAAUGUAACCACUGCAGUUUUCUGCCAGUUCAAAAAUAUAGCCAAGAUGCCCUUUUUCACUGUAUUUACCAAUGACAUUCUACAAGCCAUCUUCCCUGUAGCAAGUUUCCCUAUUUUCUUUUGCUUUAGUUUAU